UACGAACUGUGCGAACGUUAUUCGGAAUCACUGGGCUUACAGGGUGCGUAGGCGGCUAUUCAGGUCAGGUGUGAAAGCCCCCGGCUCAACCGGGGAACUGCGCUUGAAACCGAGUGGCUCGAGUCAGCUAGAGGUACACGGAACUUCCAGUGGAGCGGUGAAAUGUGUUGAUAUUGGAAGGAACACCGGAGGCGAAAGCGGUGUACUGGGGCUGGUCUGACGCUGAGGCACGAAAGCCAGGGGAGCGAACGGGG
rnacentral:rRNA from 1 species